UAGGGAAUCUUCGGCAAUGGGGGCAACCCUGACCGAGCAACGCCGCGUGAGUGAAGAAGGUUUUCGGAUCGUAAAGCUCUGUUGUAAGAGAAGAACGAGUGUGAGAGUGGAAAGUUCACACUGUGACGGUAACUUACCAGAAAGGGACGGCUAACUACGUGCCAGCAGCCGCGGUAAUACGUAGGUCCCGAGCGUUAUCCGGAUUUAUUGGGGCGUAAAGCGAGCGCAGGCGGUUUGAUAAGUCUGAAGUUAAAGGCUGUGGCUCAACCAUAGUUCGCUUUGGAAACUGUCAAACUUGAGUGCAGAAGGGGAGAGUGGAAUUCCAUGUGUAGCGGUGAAAUGCGUAGAUAUAUGGAGGAACACCGGUGGCGAAAGCGGCUCUCUGGUCUGUAACUGACGCUGAGGCUCGAAAGCGUGGGGAGCAAACAGGAUUAGAUACCCUGGUAGUCCACGCCGUAAACGAUGAGUGCUAGGUGUUAGACCCUUUCCGGGGUUUAGUGCCGCAGCUAACGCAUUAAGCACUCCGCCUGGGGAGUACGACCGCAAGGUUG
rnacentral:rRNA from 1 species